rnacentral:sRNA from 12 species
GGUGCCGCCGGGCGGUGCGGGUCUUGAGGGUUGGGGAACCCGGUGACGGGCCUGUGCCGAGGUCUGUCGGGGUCCAAGGGAGCCCUGGCGGGUCGUUUCGGCGAAGGGG